AACGCGAAGAACCUUACCAAGUCUUGACAUCCCUCUGACCGGUCCGUAAUGGGACUUUCCCUUCGGGGCAGAGGAGACAGGUGGUGCAUGGUUGUCGUCAGCUCGUGUCGUGAGAUGUUGGGUUAAGUCCCGCAACGAGCGCAACCCUUAUCCUUAGUAGCCAGCAGUUCGGCUGGGCACUCUAGGGAGACUGCCAGGGAUAACCUGGAGGAAGGUGGGGAUGACGUCAAAUCAUCAUGCCCCUUAUGAUUUGGGCUACACACGUGCUACAAUGGCGUAAACAAAGGGAAGCGACCCCGCGAGGGCAAGCAAAUCUCAAAAAUAACGUCUCAGUUCGGAUUGCAGGCUGCAACUCGCCUGCAUGAAGCUGGAAUCGCUAGUAAUCGCGAAUCAGAAUGUCGCGGUGAAUACGUUCCCGGGUCUUGUACACACCG
rnacentral:rRNA from 1 species